rnacentral:rRNA from 1 species
CCGAAGAGAUUUGGGAGUGCUCGCAAGAGAACCGGAACACAGGUGCUGCAUGGCUGUCGUCAGCUCGUGUCGUGAGAUGUUGGGUUAAGUCCCGCAACGAGCGCAACCCUUGUCAUUAGUUGCUACGAAAGGGCACUCUAAUGAGACUGCCGGUGACAAACCGGAGGAAGGUGGGGAUGACGUCAAGUCCUCAUGGCCCUUAUGGGUAGGGCUUCACACGUCAUACAAUGGUCGGGACAGAGGGUCGCCAACCCGCGAGGGGGAGCCAAUCCCAGAAACCCGAUCGUAGUCCGGAUUGCAGUCUGCAACUCGACUGCAUGAAGUCGGAAUCGCUAGUAAUCGCGGAUCAGAAUGUCGCGGUGAAUACGUUCCCGGGUCUU